rnacentral:rRNA from 1 species
AUGGAAUGGCCGGUUCCUAAGGAGAGCAAAAUCUGGUUGCGUGGGGUGUCCACACUCCCUUCGCGACCAUAUCCACAUAAGGGCCUCAUUGUCAAACUAGCCGGUCUGAGGGCCUUGGUGGUUGAUGGAGAAGACAUAAAAGUGCCACGCCAGCCAAGCAGCAUCAUUGGAUGUCUUUGCAGGCAUUAUUACCCUGGCUUGGUCCCCAUAGGAGACGGUGAGGAGGAGCCAGCUUGGUAUUGGGAGCAUUGGAAACGAGCUCCGGAUACCAAAGACAAGUGGGGCAGGGUGUAUGGUAGUGCCGCUGAGCGGGUGGUCAAUGAUUUUUGGGACUUCUUUACUUGCGCCGAGGGUAUGAAGGAUGAAGCUAAUGAGGUUGUGGAGGCGAUUGCCAAGAAGAUUGUCCAAGACAUGCCCUAUGAGGCGCGCGUUGAUGCUGUGGUGAAGUAUUUCACACACGAACGCAAAAUGCUUCUCAAAAAGUCUCUAGCCCGGAGAGUGCAUCUCACCCGUUCCAUGUACAUGAAGGCGGUUCCCUCGUGGUGCAACAACAAUGUUCCUUGCUACCAGCAAAUCAUAUCCAAAUGGAUAGACCCGGAGUGGAGGGUCCAACAUCAAAUGGCUUCGGAGCGGCGUGCCUUGAUGAGUGGUCCGGUACACCUUCAAGGCAACCUCAACCUCCACGCUUACGUGCAGAAGAAGAAUAGGGAGAGAGGUGAGGGCCAAGAGAAGCUCAAUACCUUCACGGGAUUAUGUCUCUCCCGCAAGUCAAAGAAACCGGAAGGGGGGUGGGUCAACCCAGACGCUGGCUUGAGGAUUGAUGCAUACAGUGGGAAGUUCAAGGAGCACAACGGGCCUGACUCUUAUCCGGCCUCACAGGACGUUGACGCUACAAUUUCCCUCCGGUCGGGAGAGGGCAAGAAGGGUGGCCGGUUAUAUGUUGGUGACGGUGCCAUCCAUAAGAAGGACAUCCCAAAACUCUCUCACCUUCGUGCUACCACGUCGAGCUCAGGUCCUGCUAUAGAGCGUCGCCCACAGCCUGGGCUGCACAUGCUCCAUCAACUCGAGGUAUCUUUUGCUUCAUCGACCUUCCUUGUGAUUUCUUCUUUGUAUUGCAACGAUGGUGAACUUGUUGUGAUGGCAUAUUGUAGGCCAAUGCCAUGCUUCGAGAGGAGGAAGCCAUGA